CAUAUGGUGCUUAUAUGCGGUGUGCAACCACAAAAUGCACAACAAAAUAAGUGGCGAUAUGGCUUCAUCAGAGGU
rfam:Haemophilus paracuniculus strain CCTG 43573 43573T_ctg_0000003, whole genome shotgun sequence.